GACGAACGCUGGCGGCGUGCUUAACACAUGCAAGUCGAACGGGUCUGCCCUGUUUUUUGCGGGGUGGGUCAGUGGCGAACGGGUGAGUAACACGUGAGUAACCUGCCCCUCUCUUCUGGAUAACCGCUUGAACGGGUGGCUACUACGGGUUGUUCUGGCUCUGCCGCAUGGUGUGGCUGGGAACGAUUCACCUUCGUGGUGUCUUGCUGCGGGCUGGGCUCGCGGCCUAUCAGCUUGUUGGUGGGGGGAUGGCCUGCCAAGGCUUUUACGGGUAGCCGGCCUGGGAGGGUGGGCGGUCACACUGGGACGGAGAUACGGCCCAGACUCGUGCGGGAGGCAGCAGGGGGGGGUAUUGCACAAUGGGCGGAAGCCUGAUGCAGCGACGUCGCGUGAGGGAUGGAGGCCUUCGGGUUGUGAACCUCUUUCGCCGGUGAAGAAGGUCCUGCUCUUUGUGGUGGGGUUGACGGUAGCCGGGUUAUGAAGCGCCGGCUAACUACGUG
rnacentral:rRNA from 1 species